UACGUAGGGUGCGAGCGUUGUCCGGAAUUAUUGGGCGUAAAGAGCUUGUAGGCGGUUUGUCGCGUCCGCUGUGAAAUCUCAAGGCUCAACCUUGAGCUUGCAGUGGGUACGGGCAGGCUAGAGUGUGGUAGGGGAGACUGGAAUUCCUGGUGUAGCGGUGAAAUGCGUAGAUAUCAGGAGGAACACCUGUGGCGAAAGCGGCUCACUGGACCAUAACUGACGCUGAUGCACGAAAGCUAGGGGAGCAAACGGG
rnacentral:rRNA from 1 species